ensembl:lncRNA
AUGCCAAAGAAGUAUAUCCCAGAGUGGCAUAUUUUGGCCUCCUACGGUCAUAUUUUGAGGUGUUGUGUUCUGAGCCGCCACGAGAUGGGGACUUGCUACGCUGCCCAGGCUGGUCUUGAACUCUUUGCCUCAAGGGAUCUUCCCACCUCAGCCUCCCAAAAUACUGGGAUUACAGGUGUGAGCUGCUGUGGCUGGCCUGUAUUUGGACAGUUUCGCAGCACUGUGCUUGGCCUGUAUUUGGACAGUUUUUGCAGCAAAGAUGGAAUAAUCAUGUCUUCCCUACAGAGUUCCUGUGAGAAUUAUAGGGGAAAGCCCUUUUAAAUGAUCAAGGGUGAGCUCUGUGUGUGUGUAUCAUGACCUAGUUGCUACUAAGGGCUUUGUGCGUAUCAGUGUGCUUGCCUAGCAUGCACUCCUGGUUUUUGUUCGUCUUUUCUCUUACCUUCUGGAUCAGGUUUGUUCUCUUAUUAAAUGAUAUAAUAUGUGCAAAAUGCCUAACAUAGAAUGUAGAAUAGGGGUGUGCAUGUUAACAGGAGUAAUUGCUAGCACCAUCCCUUCUUUUCCCCCAUAUCUCCAUCUCUUCCCAUUGGGUAUCUACAGUCUGUGGGUGAACCCAGGGAUAUUCCUCCUUUGCUACUAACUUUCAGAGGACUGGUGACUCCUGAGCCUGACUUACAGUCUUUUAAUUCUGGGCAAGUCACAACUUGGGGGCCUAAUUGUAAAACUGAUAAAGCUUAUGUUUUGAAAUUACCAGCUGAAUCAGCAUAAUCUCCACUGUGCAUUUUGCAAAAUCCUACAAGGUAUAGCAUUAACUAAGACAUUUCUAAUCAAUGAGCUGUCUUUCUGUUAGAAAGCAUUGACUCAGACAUCAAAUCCAUGAUAUUUAUUUAGUUCUCAGAAGACUGGCCUUUUAAACAUGACCUUUGAGUAUUACUUAUGAAGGAGUUCAGAAAAUGCUGCCCCCGAAUAUGCUGCUUUGGCAGGCUGGUUACUUUAAACUGAGGAUGCUUGGGGAAAAGCAACUGCAAGGAGCUUUCUCUGAACUUCCUUUUAUCUGCCUAAAGACAGAUCCUCUAGUCUGUAAUCCCAGCACUUUGGGAGGCUGAGGCAGGCUGAGGUCAGGAGUUCGAGACCAGUCUGGGCAACAAGGUGAAAACCUGACUCUACUAAAAAAAAAAAAAUAUAUAUAUAUAUAUAUAUAUAUAUACACACACACACACUAUAUAUAUAUACACACACACACUAUAUAUAUAUACACACACACACACACACACGAAAAUUAGUUGGGUGUGAUAGCAGCCACCUGUAAUCCCAGCUACUUGGGAUGCUGAGGCAGAACAGCUUGAACCCGGGAGGCAGAGGUUGCAGUGAGCAGAGAUUUCACUCCAGUCUGGGAGACAAGAGCAAAACUCCACCAUUCCUCUGAAAGGAGCUCAUCUGUCAGGAAUGGGAAAAUCUGGGAUCAUGGCAGGCCCAGACAGACUAUCACCUAUUCUUCUGCUAGAAAACAACUCCUUAUUACCUGAUCAGCUUUUUAAACUCUGCACAACAAGAGACAACCUUUAUUCUUUAUACACUUCUCCUCACACUCUCCCAUAAUUUCACCUGUCCCCACUCCAACUCCAAAACCCUGUUCUUUUCUGUAACUCAGGAUGCUAUACAAGCUUCAACCAUCUGACCCUUUGAGCCCCAUAUUUUGUGAAGCUCCGGUGUGAAUGCUGGUAAUUAAAAUGGGUUUUCUUUGUCCUGUUAAUCUGCCUUAUGGAAAUCUAAUUCAUAGACCAGCCAAAGAACCUAGAAGGGUGGAGGGAAGCUAUUUUUUGCUCCCUACACCCAGUAGACGGAUACCCAGGGAUGUGGGCAACAGUGAGAGGUAGAGGUGGGCUUUGAAAGCAAGGGGUGGGGUGGGGGUGGGGAAGGGCAUUAGGCUUCAUUUCACAAGGGACUCCAGAAACUGCCCCUAACCCACCCGGCAAGUGCAAUGCCUUUUCACGCCGGAGUUUCCUAUCUAUUAACUAGGUAUGAUCAUUCUUGCUCCGUCACAGGGCGGCUCACGUCUGUGUACAUGGCAUCCCCACCCACCACAAUGGAAAUGAUAUCAUUAGCUCUGACCUUGCAACCAAGCUCCUGAAGCCCAAACUAGGCUUUUCUGCUGCCAGAUUGCUGGGUGAACAGCGCUCCAUGGAGGGGACCUCCUGCUGCCAUCCUGGCCAUUGACUGGGGCUUGGGGGCGGAGCAGCUGGGUAGGUUCGCGGGCACCGAGGGCGGCCCAGCUCCGAGCGCCCGCUGGAGCGAGAGCCGGCUGUAGGCGGCUCCUUCCUGUGCAAACUUUUCUGUCCUCUUCCUCCUCCCGCCCUCCGUACCGGCUCCUCGGCGCCCGGCGUCCACCUCCCCGCCCUUCUCGCUGCCUCGGGGUUGCGGCGUGCGGGGCAGAGCCCGG